GUGUUAUUCCCAUUCCUGUAUCUUUUCCAACUGUGAUUAUGAGCCAAACAAAUACAGGAUUCUGUUAUGCAAAGGAGAACUAACCCAACAGUGGAGUCUUUGUCUUCCAGGAGGACCAGAAUGGAGUGUACUGCCUUGAAACCUCCUCGUUUCAAUGGAAAAAGGUUUCUGUAUGUUCUGAUGGGUACCAGAGUGAAGCCAACAACAAUGUUGCUUAAGAUUGGACUGAAGGCC